rnacentral:rRNA from 1 species
UACAGAGGGGGCAAGCGUUGUUCGGAAUUACUGGGCGUAAAGGGCGCGUAGGCGGCCUGUUAAGUCGAACGUGAAAUCCCCGGGCUCAACCCGGGAACUGCGUCCGAUACUGGCAGGCUUGAAUCCGGGAGAGGGAUGCGGAAUUCCAGGUGUAGCGGUGAAAUGCGUAGAUAUCAGGAGGAACACCAAUGGCGAAGGCAGCACUCUGGGACGUGACUGACGCUGAGACGCGAAAGCGUGGGGAGCAAACAGG